GAUGAACGCUAGCUACAGGCUUAACACAUGCAAGUCGAGGGGCAGCACAGUGUAGCAAUACACGGGUGGCGACCGGCGCACGGGUGCGUAACACGUAUCCAAUCUGCCCGUUACUCGGGGAUAGCCUUCGGAAAGGAAGAUUAAUACCCGAUGGCAUGUAUUUCCGGCAUCGGAGAUACAUUAAAGCUUUAUCGGUAACGGAUGAGGAUGCGUACGAUUAGCUAGUUGGCGGGGUAACGGCCCACCAAGGCGACGAUCGUUAGGGGUUCUGAGAGGAAGGUCCCCCACACUGGAACUGAGACACGGUCCAGACUCCUACGGGAGGCAGCAGUGAGGAAUAUUGGUCAAUGGUCGAGAGACUGCACCAGCCAAGUAGCGUGAAGGAUGACUGCCCUAUGGGUUGUAAACUUCUUUUGUUUGGGAAUAAAGUCAGGUACGUGUACCUGUUUGUAUGUACCAUUCGAAUAAGCAUCGGCUAAUUCCGUGCCAGCAGCCGCAGUAACAC
rnacentral:rRNA from 1 species